AGAGUUUGAUCCUGGCUCAGAACGAACGCUGGCGGCGUGGCUAAGACAUGCAAGUCGAACGGACUAUCCUGAAGAGUAAUCGGACGGAUAGUUAGUGGCGAAAGGGUGAGGAAUGAAUAGGUAACGUACCCCGAACUACGGGAUAGCGUCUGAAAACUUCGGUUUUCUUCCGAAAGGGGCAAUAAUACCGUAUAAUAUCGUAAUCCAUAAGUUUUACGAUCAAAGAUUUAUCGGUUUGGGAGCGGCCUAUUUCCUAUCAGCUUGUUGGUGAGGCAACGGCUCACCAAGGCAUCGACGGGUAGCGGGACUGAGAGGUUGACCCGCCACAUUGGGACUGAGACACUGCCCAGACCCCCACGGGGGGCUGCAGUAACGAAUAUUGCGCAAUGGACGAAAGUCUGACGCAGCAACGCCGCGUGUAGGAUGAAGCUUCUCGGAGUGUAAACUACUGUCAGGGCGAAGAAAGUAUGCUUCGGCAUAUUGAUCGAACCCAAAGGAAGUCACGGCUAACUUCGUGCCAGCAGCCGCGGUAAUACGAAGGUGGCAAGCGUUGUUCGGAAUCACUGGGCUUAAAGCGCGCGUAGGCGGAAUAGACAGUGUCCUGUGAAAGCCCUCGGCUUAACCGAGGAAUUGCGGGGCAUACUACUAUUCUUGAGGCAAGUAGGGGUGCAUGGAACUCUUGGUGGAGCGGUGGAAUGCGUAGAUAUCAAGAGGAACGCCAAAGGUGAAGACAGUGCACUGGGCUUGUCCUGACGCUGAGGUGCGAAAGCGUGGGGAGCGAAAGGGAUUAGAUACCCCUGUAGUCCACGCCGUAAACGAUGUCUACUAGGUUGUGGAGGUUCUGACACCCUCACAGUCGAAGCAAAAGUGUUAAGUAGACCGCCUGGGGAG
rnacentral:rRNA from 1 species